CGUGGGUAACCUGCCUUAUAGUGGGGGAGUAGCCUUCGAAAGGAAGAUUAAUACCGCAUAAGAUUGUAGUAUCGCAUGAUAUAGCAAUUAAAGGAGCAAUUCGCUAUAAGAUGGACCCGCGUCGCAUUAGCUAGUUGGUGAGGUAAUGGCUCACCAAGGCGACGAUGCGUAGCCGACCUGAGAGGGUGAUCGGCCACAUUGGGACUGAGACACGGCCCAGACUCCUACGGGAGGCAGCAUG
rnacentral:rRNA from 1 species